UUUCGUUUCAAAACCGCCAUUCCGAUUAAUCAACUUAAACCAGUUUUUGCUACGGUAAAAUUUGACCUAGUUUCAACUUGCUAGAACCGAGUUGUUUUCUUCCGCCGUUUGUUUUCGGUUUCUUUGUUCGGUUGUUUCUUUCUUUGCAACCAGAGUUCUUAAGUUGAACUAUCUGGUUCGAUCUCUUGUUCGAGUUUUACCUGUGCAUUAGAUGAGUACUUAUUGUAUGCUUGUUGUUUGUCUGCGAUAGAUUACCCGGAUUGCGCCGCCUGUUACUUCGAAUCUCUAGGACUCGCGGAUCAUCAGCAAGGCAAGUAACACUUUGAUCAUACCUUUUCUACAACCCAGUUUUAUUGCAUUAGAUCCAUCCUCACACAUUGCAUGAUUAGGAUCUAAUUAAAUUGUGGGAUGGGAAGUAGAUGAGGUAGUACCUAUUACCUGUUAUUAUGAAACCUUUGGGAGUUACUUCUACGUUUGCUUAUUAUGCCAUGCUAUGCUAGUAGACGUGGAUUGGGUGAGUGAUAUCCAUGACAGAUGUGAGAUUGAUAAUUUUAAUGGUUUAUCUAAGGUGGCAACUUAAACACACAUCUGGGUGGAUUGAGGCACCUGAUGUCUAUCAGGACUUGCCUGUUUUUCUUUUGGACCGCCACCCAGGCUCAAAGGGAUCAUAAGAUCUUUCAUGCUAAAUACUUACGUGUGCAGCCACAAGCCAUUAUGGGCUCUGGCAUAGUUGACUAAGUCGUGCGAACUCUUACAAGGUAGACUAGCAGAUGUAGGGGAAAGUAGGUGUACCGGUCUAUCCAUCGUAAGGUGCUAGCGCUUCUGAAAGACUGUGUCUCGGUCAUCCGUUUCUCCAACACCGGUAGUGCGAGAAAUCCAACGGAGGCGAUCGAGUCUUGUGGGGAAAAAUGCGCAAACCUCUGCAGAGUGUAACAAACUAACCAUGAUUAGCCAUGUCCCCGGUUAUGGACAAUCUUGAGUAUCUAGUGCUUGAAUAUCAUAUGAAUCUCAUCAUGUUACUUCUAAUUUAAUAUUGUCGGGUUAUUGAUGACUACUUUUAAUUGGGAUUGAGAAUGCUGUCAACCAUUCUCAAUGUUUAACAACCACCAUGAUAGUUAAAUAAAUUUAUUCCUUUGUAGUAGGGAAAAAUUGGCUUUACGCAAAACAGUAACCAUAGAGCUUUCCACCAGCCAAAUAUGCAUAUAGUAUAGCUGUUUCAUUCCAUUACUCUCUAUGUGUUACCUUGCCAGCAUAUUCCAUGUGCUGACCCGUUUCGGGCUGCAACGUUAAUGUUGCAGACUUUUCAGACGACGAUUAAGGUGCUUUUAGGUCGUGGUUCUAUACUCAGUGAUGCCGUUGGAGUUGAUGGACCCAUUUAUCUUCCAAGUCUUCCGCUAUUAUUGAUUUUAGAUGGCCUUAAGACAUAUUUAUGUAAUAAGUUCUCUUCGGAGACAUCGUUGUAAUAAGUGUGUGAUUGCCACUCUGCUAUAAAUCCUUCGAUGUACUGUGUGGUGUCAGCAUUACUGAUCUAGGGAUGACACCGAAGCACAGUAGACUUGAUCCAUUCGGGUCGGGUCGCCACAGAGAUGGUAUCAGAGCACACGCUGACUGUUGGACACGACCACUAAGUUAAAGCCAUAGAUCACUAUUCUCUCCUCAUUUUCUAACCCCUC
rnacentral:lncRNA from 1 species